GCCGGGAGGGAAUGGGAAGUUGUUUCGGCUUCAGGAGCGGCCUGCCAGCUUCUGGAUGGGCCUGAUUAAUGUUCAAGGUGCAUUCCAGCCCGUAUACGGCCGACCUUUCUUACUUGGUGUCCCUCUGCACUCUGCAGCUAAUUAUUAACGUGAUUCUCAAAAACAAAAAAAAUAAUCUAAUUGUUAACGUUCACCGCGAGGAAUCCUAGCCGCCAGAGAGAGCAACUCAGUCGACUUCUGUUUUUUAUUUUAUUUUCGUUGAUUAAUUCAUGCCCUGCGGGGGUCUCCCGGCGGUAGAGUCCGCGGCGUAUGGGAAAAUGGUCUCUUGGUUGCGUCGUCAUUCAUGCAUAGUCAGUACCAUCAUGGUCCAUGAAGACAAUGGAUCUCGCCGUUUGUGCUUUUGUUAUUUUGGUUUUCUUCCUUGUCAGUUCCGUAACGAAUCAGCAGUUUGACACCCUGUUUUCCAGAGGUUGUGUCCCCUGCCACAUUACGUUCGACGCUCUUAAGUUCUCAUCGUUUGGGGUUAGAGAUUGAUGCGGCUUUUCAAAACCAACGAGGUUAGCCCAACUUGUGCAUCUUUGGUCAUCUGUAAUUUCAUCACCACCACCAGAGACAUGGAGACAUAUUAAGAUACGAACGACGGAUGUAGCAAUUUUCACUUUGGAGAAUCUUGAUGUAACUUUUAGUUUUAUUACAAAUCUUUGUUAUUGGUUUUUCUUUCAGUUUUGUCGAUUGUUUGCA
rnacentral:lncRNA from 1 species